ACAAGUACCAAUAUCGUGUCCCGUGGGCAAACGGCAAAGUGACUCGCGCUCUAUAGGCAGACUACUGCUUCAUUUAUUUUGCCCUAAUCCUUUUCUUUCCUCCGUAGAACUGAAAAACCCCGAAACUCGCAAGAGGAAAAAAAAACCCUCUGCAGCUUUUCUCAAAACGAUUCAAAGAAGCCUCUCGAAACUCUUCGUCGACCCCGCGCCGUCCAUUAGACAGUUUUUUAAAUUAUGGGCGAAAGUGAAACUGUGGUAGCUCAAACCUCGUCAGUCACUGAUUAUAUAUCUGCUGGUUAUUCGUCAAUAAAUCCUGAUGAUGCUGGUGCCCACCUUUCUUCUGAUGCUGGAAACGCCGGGGAUCUGGCCACUGCCUGUCCAAAUGGGGCUGGGGAGUUAGCAUCUACUAAUAUAGAAGCUGGAAACCCUUAUACUACUGAUCAAGUUUCUACCCAGCAAGAAGGUGCAACUGCUAUGUCAUAUGACCCCAGCCAGGAUCUUGCAGCUCUAGCAGAUGCACCCGUAGGUUCAUCCCAAGUUACUGACUGUGAAUCUUCUGCAAAUGGCAACAACACUGCUGAAGAAAGAGACAUUGCAGCUGUUGGAAUUGCUGAAAAUGGGAUUGCAUCAGAUGUUCAUGGAAGUUCCAAUAUGCAUCAGCCAGAGGAUGGCCUAGUUUUAUCUCCUGAAGAGGAAAGAUUAUGGAGCAUAGUAAGGACGAAUUCUUUAGACUUCAGUGCCUGGACUGCCCUUAUUGAGGAAACAGAGAAGAUGUCGGAGGGGAACAUUUUGAAGAUUCGGAAGGUUUAUGAUGCAUUCUUGGCGGAAUUUCCUCUGUGUUAUGGUUAUUGGAAGAAAUAUGCAGAUCAUGAGGCCCGUCUUGGCUCUGUUGACAAAGUUGUGGAGGUCUAUGAACGGGCUGUUCAAGGUGUGACAUAUUCGGUAGAUAUGUGGUUGCACUAUUGUGUUUUUGCUAUAAGCACUUAUGGAGAUCCUGGCACCAUUAGAAGGUUAUUUGAAAGAGGAUUAGUGUAUGUUGGAACAGACUACCUGUCCUUUCCACUUUGGGAUAAGUACCUGGAAUAUGAGUACACGCAGCAGGCUUGGUCGAAUGUUGCUGCCAUCUACACACAGAUAUUGCAGAAUCCAAAUCAGCAGCUCGAUCGCUAUUUUGAAGGAUUCAAGGAACUGGUGGCUAGUAGGCCUCUAUCAGAGUUACGAACUUCUGAAGAAGCUGCAGCUGCAACAGACGCUGGGGGUGAACAGGUUGAGGGAGAGGUUAAUCCUGGUUCUGAGUCUUCUAAACUUGUAAGUGCAAGCUUAAAAGAUGCGGAGGAGUUGGAGAUGUAUAUUGCCAUUAGAGAAGAGAUGUAUAAGAAAGCUAAAGAGUUCGAUUCUAAGAUCGUUGGUUUCGAAACAGCUAUAAGGAGGCCAUAUUUUCAUGUGCGGCCUUUGAAUGUUGCAGAGCUUGAAAAUUGGCACAAUUAUCUUGACUUCAUAGAAGGAGGGGAUGACUUCAAUAAGGUGGUCAAGUUGUAUGAGAGAUGCCUGAUUGCAUGUGCCAAUUAUCCUGAAUAUUGGAUUCGGUAUGUUUCUUGUAUGGAAACAAGUGGAAGUUUGGAUCUUGCCGAUAAUGCCCUUGCUCGUGCCACUCAAGUGUUUGUCAAGAGGCAACCAGCGAUCCACCUUUUUGCUGCUCGAUUGCGGGAGCAACGUGGUGAUAUUCCUGGUGCUCGAGCUGCAUAUCAACUUGUGCAUGCUGAAAUAUCACCUGGGCUUGUAGAAGCAAUAGUCAAGCAUGCAAACAUGGAGCGUCGACUUGGGAAUCUUGAGGAUGCCUGUUCCAUAUACGAACAAGCUAUUGCCAUCGAAAAAGGGAAGGAACACUCACAGAGUCUGCCGUUGUUGUUUGCACAGUACUCUCGGUUUAUGUACUUGGUUUCUGGGAAGGUGGAAAAAACUAGGGAAAUUCUUGAUCAAGCAGUUGAGAAUGUCCAGCUGUCAAAACCACUUCUGGAGGCACUAAUCCAUUUAGAAUCCAUUCAGUCACUCCCAAAGAGAGUAGAUUUGUUGGAUUCAUUGGUUGAUAAGUUCUUAGUUCCAUCUCUUGAGAACCCUAACGUUUCAAGUGUUGAUGAAAGAGAGGAGUUAUCAAGCAUUUUCUUGGAGUUUCUAGAUCUUUUUGGUGAUACACCUUCAAUUAAGAAGGCUGAUGAUCGGCAUGCAAAACUCUUCUUACGCCAUAGAACUUCUUCAGAUUCAAAGAAACGUCAGGCUGAAGAUUAUAUAGUUUCCGAGAAAACAAAGCUGGCAAAGUCUGCUGUUGCAGCAACCAACCCCUCAGUGGUUGGUGCAUAUCCUGGAGCACAGAAUCAGUGGCCUGCAGGUUAUGGUGUACAAGGUCAAACCUGGCCACAGGCUACACAAGCCCAAUCACAGCAGUGGAAUCCUGGUUACGCACAACAGGCAGCAUAUGGUGCUUACGGGAGUUAUGGUACUGGCUAUCCACCUCCGCAAGCGCCUGCAGCAUCGGUGCCCUCCAGUGCUGGUUAUGGUGCUUAUCCUUCAACAUACGCAGCCCAGAAUUACAAAGUGUCUUGGUAAGUAGAUUUGGGAGCAGUAGGAGCUUCUCAAAUUUCAUGUUGCAUUGGCCAUUGGGGGAAGUUCAGUCCAGUGGACAAUUGUAGCAAAGUUUGAAAUUCAAUGAAACACUUCUGUUAGGCCUUCCCUCAGCAGAAUUAUGCACCUCCAGCUGCUGUUGCCACUGCAGCUUCGACUCCAGCACCACAGGCUACAACUGUUCCUCCGACAGCUUAUUACGGCAGUUACUAUUGAAAUGCCAAAAAUUUCUGCGUCAAUUUCUUUUUUGCUGGAUAUAGUUUGUAUCUUCCCCUCAACGGCUAGAAUAUGUUGCAAUACCAUGAGUUCUUCAACAUGGUUGUAAUUCGAGUUAAUGAGCUGUCGGAUAGGAAAUUGAGCAAUCUAGUGAUGGCUUACCUUAGGCUGAUGGGCAGCGGUUUCGAUCCAUUGCUUAUCCUCUGUUGGCUUUUUUUCUAAUUAAUGUACCAUACUUUUGGUUUUAAAGUGGUAGUAUGCAGGAAAAAUCUGUUGCAAGAUUUUA